rnacentral:rRNA from 1 species
UGUUCCCUACGGGAGGCAGCAGUGAGGAAUAUUGGUCAAUGGGCGAGAGCCUGAACCAGCCAAGUCGCGUGAGGGAGUACUGCCCUAUGGGUUGUAAACCUCUUUUGUCGGGGAGCAAAAGCCGGACGUGUCCGGCUGUGAGAGUACCCGAAGAAAAAGCAUCGGCUAACUCCGUGCUAGCAGCCGCGGUAAUACGGAGGAUGCGAGCGUUAUCCGGAUUUAUUGGGUUUAAAGGGUGCGUAGGCGGAUUUUUAAGUCAGCGGUCAAAUAGUGGGGCUCAACCCCAUCCAGCCGUUGAA